rnacentral:rRNA from 1 species
GACGAACGCUGGCGGCGUGCCUAAUACAUGCAAGUUGAGCGCUGAGGGGUGGUGCUUGUACCACCUGGAUGAGCAGCGAACGGGUGAGUAACGCGUGGGGAAUCUGCCUUUAAGCGGGGGACAACUUUGGGAAACGGGUGCUAAUACCGCAUAAAAUCUUUAAACACAAGUUUCAAGUGUGAAAGAUGCAUUUGCAUCACUCAAAGAUGAUCCCCCGGUGUCUUAGCUAAUUGGUGAGGUAAAGGCUCACCAAGGCAAAGAUACAUAGCCGACCUGGAAGGGUGUUCGCCCACUCGGGACCUGAGACACGGUCCAGCCUCCUACGGAGGCCGCCGUAAGGGAAUCUUGGGCAUGGAGCGAAGUCCUGACGGGGCACCGCCGCGUGAGGGAGAAGGGUUUCGGGUCCGUAAAACUCUUUGAUAGGGGAAGACCUUGGUGGUAGGUGAAAGCGCACCUAUUGACGGUACCUACUCAGAAAGCCACGGCUAACUACGUG